CGCGCAGGCGGUCUUUUAAGUCUGAUGUGAAAGCCUUCGGCUUAACCGGAGAAGUGCAUCGGAAACUGGGAGACUUGAGUGCAGAAGAGGACAGUGGAACUCCAUGUGUAGCGGUGAAAUGCGUAGAUAUAUGGAAGAACACCAGUGGCGAAGGCGGCUGUCUGGUCUGUAACUGACGCUGAGGCUCGAAAGCAUGGGUAGCGAACA
rnacentral:rRNA from 1 species